UACGUAGGCAGCGAGCGUUGUUCGGAGUUACUGGGCGUAAAGCGUGCGUAGGCGGUUUUGCAAGUUUGGUGUGAAAUCUCCCGGCUCAACUGGGAGGGUGCGCCGAAAACUGCAAGGCUGGAGUGUGGGAGAGGUAGGCGGAAUUCCUGGUGUAGCGGUGAAAUGCGUAGAUAUCAGGAGGAACACCUGUGGUGUAGACGGCUUACUGGACCAUGACUGACGCUGAGGCACGAAAGCGUGGGGAGCAAACAGG
rnacentral:rRNA from 1 species